UACGGAGGAUGCAAGCGUUAUCCGGAAUCAUUGGGCGUAAAGCGUCCGCAGGUGGCCAUUCAAGUCUGUUGUUAAAGACUAGAGCUCAACUCUGGAAAGGCAAUGGAAACUGUGUGGCUAGAGUAUGGUAGGGGUUGAGGGAAUUCCCAGUGUAGCGGUGAAAUGCGUAGAUAUUGGGAAGAACACCAGUGGCGAAGGCGCUCAACUGGGCCAUAACUGACACUCAGGGACGAAAGCUAGGGGAGCGAAAGGG
rnacentral:rRNA from 1 species